GGAGGCAUUGGUGGGAUACUACCCUAGCUGUAUGAACACUCUAACCCGCGCCACUAAUCGUGGCGGGAGACAGUGUCAGGUAGGCAGUUUGACUGGGGCGGUCGCCUCCUAAAAUGUAACGGAGGCGCCCAAAGGUUCCCUCAGAAUGGUUGGAAAUCAUUCGCAGAGUGUAAAGGUAGAAGGGAGCUUGACUGCGAGACUGACAAGUCGAGCAGGGACGAAAGUCGGGCUUAGUGAUCCGGUGGUUCCGUAUGGAAGGGCCAUCGCUCAACGGAUAAAAGCUACCCUGGGGAUAACAGGCUUAUCUCCCCCAAGAGUCCACAUCGACGGGGAGGUUUGGCACCUCGAUGUCGGCUCAUCGCAUCCUGGGGCUGUAGUCGGUCCCAAGGGUUGGGCUGUUCGCCCAUUAAAGCGGUACGCGAGCUGGGUUCAGA
rnacentral:rRNA from 2 species